rnacentral:lncRNA from 1 species
UGACCGUGGGCGGAGAGGGGGUCCAUUUAGAAAGUAUACCAUGGAUGUGAAUCAGAGGAUUCUCCUUUCAUUUUUUUCUUUUUUCUGCAUUGUUGCAUAGACCCACCUUUGCAGCUAAAAGGGAAAGCAUCCAUUAUUGUUUUUGAAAUACUGAUCAUGCUUAUUUGAAAUUUAAAAUUUUCAUUGCAUUUUUUUCUCACUUUUUGCUCUUCUUUUAGUCCAUAUGUUGUGUACCUUGGAGCUCAUUCACAUAAUUUUGAAGCUUCACUCAUUGAUUUAGAUCAAGUUAAAGAUGGUCACUAUCUGUUGUUUGGGAAGUAAAGAAAAGGCGAAAGAUGCCAUCUUUUACUCAUAGAAGGCAAAGAUGAUGAGGGCCAUUUCUUUGAUGAUUCGUCGACGACCACCGUCUCCUUGCGGUCUUCAAGUUUAAAGUCGACCCAACUUAAAAAAAAAGGUAUUUAAUUUCAUCUUCUUUUGGUCAAUUUGCAUAUGGGUUAUUAUUAUUUUUGGUAUAUGUUUUGUAUGUGGUUUAGGCCAUGGUGACGAACGCGAACCCCAACGGCGCACUUCGAUGAUGACGACUAGGGUUCCGGCGACUGUUCCGGAACCAUUGAGUGUAACUGAUAGGAGGUAGAUAUGAACACUGGUAAUGUUGUCUGAUUACCUUUAAGACUCACAAAUCUAUGUUUGAUUUAAUAUAAAAGAAAAAAAAUGAAGUUUUCAAAGUUAGUGAUCCUGGCAGGGGAGUUUGUGGUCUUUGUGUUACCGUUUUAGUUAAAUUUAUGUUUUGUCAUCAUCAAACAGAAGUAGUUUGUUAGGGCUCAUACUAGACAUACAAAAUAGAAGUCUUUGUAUUGUUAUAAAUGAUUCAUAACUUAUAAGACCCUAGGUUUUUUUUCUUUUGUUUUUUGUUUUUAGUUUUCUUUUUUGUCGGUCUGGAGGAUGGAGGCUAGCUUGCUGGUGAACUAAGGAGAGCUAAUGUUGUAGUGCUCACCUAAGCAUGUUAUUAGCCUUCAAGCUUUGAAAAUUGUAUUAAAAAUCCCGUCGAAGCAUUUAUAUUUCAUACAUUUGCAUUAUUUAGUUAUAAUCUUUUAUGUGGCAAUAAUAGGUUUUGCCUUAUUUACUAGAUUUGAUUAUUAAAUUAUAAUUGAGUGGUUCAUGAAAAAAUUGCCCGUUUUGACUAGAACUUAAAAGCUCAACCAGUUUUUGGAAAGAACAGUUGUACAUAACCUUCACAAAGGCUGCGUGGCCAGCAACAUUACGUGACACAUAUGAAAUUAUUAUAAACGACCCCUACUAUAAAGGACACCAUGUAGUGUUGGUUCCAUCUAAAAAAGUCGAUCUCAUAAAAAGAUGUGUUUUUCUAUAUAGAAGUCACAUCUAUAUUUUUAUAUUUCAUGUUAACUUGACGAGCCCCAUACACAUUAUAUUUGGGAACGAGAGGCAGCUGCAGUUCUCUGGUAAGCAAAAAAAACUAAUAUGCACUAUAUAAGAAUUGACAUCAGAAAUGUAUUCAACUGCAGUUUCACAGCCACCACCAAAAAGGCCGGGUGAAGGUGAAUGUCCGACUAAAAGAUGAACCGUUGAAGACAACCCUUUUGUCCACCUAAAAGAACAAGUAUCCGUGGAAUGGCAUCCUACAUCUAGAAAUGCCAAAGACAUUUCUUUUGUACAAAUCAUGCUUGAAAGUUCUAUCUGGAAGAAGCCUAUUAUUCCGUGCUCAUUGGCAUAUGACGGUUUUAAAAGUUAAAACAAUAUGUUUUUUUAAACAAUUUAUUGUAAGAUCACCCGUGUAACACACAUGAAAUUUAUCCAAUAUAUGUCUUUACAUAUAAUUUAAAUUUGAAUAAAAAUAAUAGGU